rnacentral:rRNA from 1 species
AUUGAACGCUGGCGGCAGGCCUAACACAUGCAAUUCGACCGGAUAAAGGGGGCUUGUUCUUGGAUUAGCGGGCGACCGGUUGGUUAAUGCCUGGAAUUUUGCCUGUUAUUGGGGGAUACCUUCCGAAAACGGGCGUUAUUCCCCCUUCGGCCCUGGGGGGGAAGUUGGGGGAUCUUCGGCCCUCCCGCUUUCGAUUUACCCUAGGUGGGAUUAGCUGGUUGUUGGGGUAAAGGCCUACCAAGGCGACGAUCCGUAACUGGUCUGAGAGGAUGAUCAGUCACACUGGAACUGAGACACGGUCCAGACUCCUACGGGAGGCAGCAGUGGGGAAUAUUGGACAAUGGGCGAAAGCCUGAUCCAGCCAUGCCGCGUGUGUGAAGAAGGUCUUCGGAUUGUAAAGCACUUUAAGUUGGGAGGAAGGGCAGUAAGUUAAUACCUUGCUGUUUUGACGUUACCAACAGAAUAAGCACCGGCUAACUUCGUG